AACGAACGCUGGCGGCAUGCCUAACACAUGCAAGUCGAACGAGACCUUCGGGUCUAGUGGCGCACGGGUGCGUAACGCGUGGGAAUCUGCCCUUGGGUUCGGGAUAACAGUUGGAAACGACUGCUAAUACCGGAUGAUGACUUCGGUCCAAAGAUUUAUCGCCCAGGGAUGAGCCCGCGUCGGAUUAGCUUGUUGGUGAGGUAAAGGCUCACCAAGGCGACGAUCCGUAGCUGGUCUGAGAGGAUGAUCAGCCACACUGGGACUGAGACACGGCCCAGACUCCUACGGGAGGCAGCAGUGGGGAAUAUUGGACAAUGGGCGAAAGCCUGAUCCAGCAAUGCCGCGUGAGUGAUGAAGGCCUUAGGGUUGUAAAGCUCUUUUACCCGGGAAGAUAAUGACUGUACCGGGAGAAUAAGCCCCGGCUAACUCCGUGCCAGCCGCCGCCGUAA
rnacentral:rRNA from 1 species